AGUCGAGGGGUAGAGGCUUUCGGGCCUUGAGACCGGCGCACGGGUGCGUAACGCGUAUGCAAUCUGCCUUGUACAAAGGGAUAGCCCAGAGAAAUUUGGAUUAAUACCUUAUAGUAUGUUGAGGGGACAUCCUCUUAUCAUUAAAGAUUUAUCGGUACAAGAUGAGCAUGCGUCCCAUUAGCUAGUUGGUGUGGUAACGGCAUACCAAGGCUAUGAUGGGUAGGGGUCCUGAGAGGGAGAUCCCCCACACUGGUACUGAGACACGGACCAGACUCCUACGGGAGGCAGCAGUGAGGAAUAUUGGACAAUGGGCGCAAGCCUGAUCCAGCCAUGCCGCGUGCAGGAUGAAGCAUCUAUGGUGUGUAAACUGCUUUUAUACGGGAAGAAACCCUGGCUCGUGAGCCAGAUUGACGGUACCGUAGGAAUAAGGAUCGGCUAACUCCGUGCCAGCAGCCGCGGUAAUACGGAGGAUCCAAGCGUUAUCCGGAAUCAUUGGGUUUAAAGGGUCCGUAGGCGGUUUUAUAAGUCAGUGGUGAAAUCCGGUAGCUCAACUAUCGAACUGCCAUUGAUACU
rnacentral:rRNA from 1 species